AGUGAACGCUGGCGGUAGGCCUAACACAUGCAAGUCGAACGGCAGCACAGUAAGAGCUUGCUCUUACGGGUGGCGAGUGGCGGACGGGUGAGGAAUACAUCGGAAUCUACUUUUUCGUGGGGGAUAACGUAGGGAAACUUACGCUAAUACCGCAUACGACCUACGGGUGAAAGCAGGGGAUAUUCGGACCUUGCGCGAUUGAAUGAGCCAAUGUCGGAUUAGCUAGUUGGCGGGGUAAAGGCCCACCCAGGCGACGGUCCUUAGCUGGUCUGAGAGGAUGAUCAGCCACACUGGAACUGAGACACGCUCCAGACUCCUCCGGGAGGCAGCAGUGGGGAAUAUUGGACAAUGGGGGCAAGCCUGAUCCAGCCAUACCGCGUGGGUGAAGAAGGCCUUCGGGUUGUAAAGCCCUUUUGUUGGGAAAGAAAAGCAGCAGGUUAAUACCCCGCUGUUCUGACGGUACCCAAAGAAUAAGCACCGGCUAACUUCGUG
rnacentral:rRNA from 1 species